GCCUAGUCGCUCGCCAUACUACCUCCUCAGACACCGGCGGCGGCCAUGCCGCCUCCGCGUCCGACGCACCCCCCACUUCCCUCUCCUCUGCCGCCCGGGCCGCCUCCCCUAAGCGCCCGUCGUCUCCCUCUCCCGCCCAACCGCCCGGCCCCCACGUCUCUCCUCCUCGCGCCGCCCUCCUCCCCAGCCCGUGCCCUCGCGCUUCUCUUCCCCGACUCCUCCGCCCAUCUCUUCCCGUCCCUACCCUCCGUCUCCCCCUUCGCCACCUCUUAUCCCGCUCACACCCCCGUCCCAUCACCACUCGCCGCCGCCGCCUCCUUCGCGCUCCUCCUGCCGUCGUCACACCUCAUCUUCCUAUCCGCGCAUCCGUCCCCUUCCAACUCCUCUGUCCACCUCCGCGCCUAUUCCCUCGCUCCCGCGCCCGCUUUCCCGCGCUUUGCGCCCGCCUCGCUCUCCUUCAAGCGCCAUGCCUCAGCUGCAGGCCUGCCGCUCCAGGACCUACCCUUCGGCAUUGGCGUCCGCCUGGCCGGCGGGGUCAACGCCGUCUCGCUGCUCUCACUGUCCACCGGCCAGAUCUGGGUGCUCUCUCCGAAGCUGGCCGCGGACGGCCGGACAGUGGAGCUGCACAAGUGCGCGGUCGUCGAGCUCGAGCCGGCGCGGCCCGUGUACGCAAUGGAAGUCGCAAUGGGAAGGCUGCUGCUCGGGGAGGUUGGCGGUUUGCGCGUCUUCCCGCUACGGGGUUUGAUGAAGGGUGGAAAGGAGAGGGAUGUGAAGAAGGAAGUUGCUGUGGUAGUAGGAAGGAAGGGCUGCCACAAGAAGAAUGGGAUGCUGAAUGGCUUAGUUGUGCCAGUUAAUCGUGUUAGCUAUGGGGGCAAUGGUGAAGGUGAUUUUGUUUCGACUUGUAAGCUCACAACUCUGAGGGUAAAACAGAGUUCAGGAAGCUAUUGUUCUUUUUCGUUGGCAUUUCAAAAUGAUGAUCAAAAGUCAGAAGGCAGCAUGGAAUUGCUGAAUUCAGUGAAAGCUAUUUCGAUCCAUCCUCUUUCCAAUAACAAGUUUUUGGUACUGGAUUCAUCUGGAGUGUUGCAUGUCUUCAUUUUUUCAACAACACAAAUGGUCUCAAGAGGUGCCAUCAAGCAAUGUUCUGAAAAUAUCCAUACAUAUCGCUUGCAUUAUCCCAUGAAAGUGCAAUUAUCUGCUGUCUUUUCAGUUACCUCUAUAAAGUGUUUGUGCAGAGACACAAUUUUUUUGGGUUUCAGAUGGUGGACAUACUGUACAUGUUAUGUCCGCAGUUGAGACUGAAUCCCCUAACGGUGAUAAUGGAGACGUUACUGGAGAAAGAGAGUUAGCACCUAUCAAGCUUUCAGCUAUUGAAGCAAUCUUUACAAGCGAAAGAGUUGAGGACAUUGUAUCUAUCUCCAAGGAUUCAGUUCUUAUCCUUGGUCAAGGCAACAUGUUUCUGUAUGGAACUUCUUGAAUUUGGUUCUUUAUCAUGCAUGGUAAGUAUAAUCAAAUCACCGUUUUUGCGUGUUACUAACAACAAUUGCUUCAGCAUACGCCCUUGAGUUUCAUUUGAUAUCAGGUGGAUACCUCACUGUUCUUUAGGGCAUGGUUCAAGACUUUGCAGCUUUGGAUGGUCUUUUGGCUAAAGACAGGAUGAGUUUUGGUGAUUUUGAAGAUGAACUUAUCCACCAGUCCUUGAAGUCGUGAGCUUUACUAUUUAUUAAUCACAGUAAGCAGAUGAAAAAAGCUCAUGUUUUUUCAGAGGACAGCAAGAAUCUGAAGGUGACGCCAGAUUAUGGACGGACCACGCCGUAAUGACCCUAUUGCUCUGCAUGCGUACUUUACAUGCAAAGACUGGCACAAUUCUUGUUGAUAUGACUUGGAAAGAGCAAUGCUGCCAAAUCUAUUCCCAGUCUCAGUUGUCGUGGAAAGUGGAUCACCAUGAGGGCCAUUCAGCUAUGGAAUAAUACAGCUGGUGCUAGACUGCUAGUGUAAUUCAGGGACUGGACUUGCGGUGUGGUGGAGUCGAGGUUUGGGCAUGUUACUUACUGCAUACUACCUCUGUUCUUAAAUAUUUGUCACCCGCUAGUCAUUUUUGAAUUAAACGGUGACAAAUUAAAAAGAACGGAGGGAGUAUAUCAAAAAAGGAAUAAUGUAGUACUCUUGUAAGAGUUAAGAUGGAAUGUUGAAAGGCGCGACUUUGAGCCAUUCUUAUCAUUGGUUUUUUAUUGCUGUAUUUUUUUUGUGACAUUCCACUAUUCCGGUAUACCCAAAUCAUUCCUGGUUGGUUGUGUAA